rnacentral:rRNA from 1 species
GAAUGCUGACAUAAGUAACGAUAAAGCGGGUGAAAAGCCCGCUCGCCGGAAGACCAAGGGUUCCUGUCCAACGUUAAUCGGGGCAGGGUGAGUCGACCCCUAAGGCGAGGCCGAAAGGCGUAGUCGAUGGGAAACGGGUUAAUAUUCCCGUACUUGGUGUUACUGCGAAGGGGGGACGGAGAAGGCUAUGUUGGCCGGGCGACGGUUGUCCCGGUUUAAGCGUGUAGGUGUGUGUUCCAGGUAAAUCCGGUUCACUUUAACACUGAGGCGUGAUGACGAGGCACUACGGUGCUGAAGCAACAAAUGCCCUGCUUCCAGGAAAAGCCUCUAAGCAUCAGGUAACAUCAAAUCGUACCCCAAACCGACACAGGUGGUCAGGUAGAGAAUACCAAGGCGCUUGAGAGAACUCGGGUGAAGGAACUAGGCAAAAUGGUGCCGUAACUUCGGGAGAAGGCACGCUGACACGUAGGUGAAGUGAUUUACUCAUGGAGCUGAAGUCAGUCGAAGAUACCAGCUGGCUGCAACUGUUUAUUAAAAACACAGCACUGUGCAAACACGAAAGUGGACGUAUACGGUGUGACGCCUGCCCGGUGCCGGAAGGUUAAUUGAUGGGGUCAGCGCAAGCGAAGCUCCUGAUCGAAGCCCCGGUAAACGGCGGCCGUAACUAUAACGGUCCUAAGGUAGCGAAAUUCCUUGUCGGGUAAGUUCCGACCUGCACGAAUGGCGUAAUGAUGGCCAGGCUGUCUCCACCCGAGACUCAGUGAAAUUGAACUCGCUGUGAAGAUGCAGUGUACCCGCGGCAAGACGGAAAGACCCCGUGAACCUUUACUAUAGCUUGACACUGAACAUUGAGCCUUGAUGUGUAGGAUAGGUGGGAGGCUUUGAAGUGUGGACGCCAGUCUGCAUGGAGCCGACCUUGAAAUACCACCCUUUAAUGUUUGAUGUUCUAACGUGGACCCGUGAUCCGGGUUGCGGACAGUGUCUGGUGGGUAGUUUGACUGGGGCGGUCUCCUCCUAAAGAGUAACGGAGGAGCACGAAGGUUGGCUAAUCCUGGUCGGACAUCAGGAGGUUAGUGCAAUGGCAUAAGCCAGCUUGACUGCGAGCGUGACGGCGCGAGCAGGUGCGAAAGCAGGUCAUAGUGAUCCGG